UAAUGUCGUUGGCCUUCUACCUGCA
rnacentral:misc_RNA from 1 species